rnacentral:rRNA from 1 species
GUGAGAACAAUACCCCAUGGACCACCAUGCCUGGAACGGUUGGUGGUUGAAAGCUCCGGCGGAGUAGGAUGGGUCUGCGGCGUAUCAGGUUGUAGGGGGUGUAAUGUACCUCCUAGCCAUUGACGCGUACGGGUUGUGAGAGCAAUCGCCCGGAGAUGGAUUCUGAGACACGAAUCCAGACCCCACGGGGUGCAGCAGGCGCGAAAACUUGACAAUGCGAGCAAUCGUGAUCAGGGGACUCCAAUUGGAUCAAUUAAUUUUGAGCUCUGAACCGACUCUAAAUAGGUCGGGUAAUAGGGGCGGGAAAUAUCGGUGCCAGCCGCCGCGGUAAUACCGAAGCCCCAAGUGGUCGUCGUUAUUAUUGGGCCUAAAACGUCCGUAGCCGGUUUGGUACAUUCGUGGGUAAAUCAGACAGCUCAACUGUUUGAAUUCUGCGAGGACGGCCAAACUUGAGACCGGGAGAGGUGUGGGGUACCUGCGGGGUAGGGGUAAAAUCCUGUCAUCCCGUAGGGACCACCUGUUGCGAAGGCGCCACACUAGAACGGAUCUGACGGUCAGGGACGAAGCCUAGGGGCACGAACCGGAUUAGAUACCCGGGUAGUCCUAGGUGUAAACGCUGUGGA